rnacentral:misc_RNA from 1 species
GAUGAAGAACGUAGCGAAAUGCGAUAAGUAAUGUGAAUUGCAGAAUUCCGUGAAUCAUCGAAUCUUUGAACGCAUAUUGCGCCCCCUGGUAUUCCGGGGGGCAUGCCUGUCCGAGCGUCAUUGCAACCUUCAAGCGCGGCUUGUGUGUUGGGUCUCGUCCCCCGUGGACGGGCCCGAAAGGCAGUGGCGGCGUCCCGACAUGGUGCCCGAGCGUAUGGGAAUCCUCUUCCGCUCGAAUCGGCCCAUGCGGCGCUGGUCGUAACCAAAUUUUUUACCGGUUGACCUCGGAUCAGGUAGGGAUACCCGCUGAACUUAAGCAUAUCAAUAAGCGGAGGA